rnacentral:rRNA from 1 species
UGCGUAGGUGGCAUGGCAAGGUCAGAUGUGAAAACCUUGGGCUCAACCUAAGGAUUGCAUCUGAAACUGCGUAAGCUAGAGUGCAGGAGAGGAAAGCGGAAUUCCGAGUGUAGCGGUGAAAUGCGUAGAGAUUCGGAGGAACACCAGUAGCGAAGGCGGCUUUCUGGACUGUAACUGACACUGAGGCACGAAAGCGUGGGGAGCGAACA